GACGAACGCUGGCGGUGUGCUUCACACAUGCAAGUCGAACGGUAGCAAUACAGUGGCGGACGGGUGAGUAACACGUGGGAAUCUGCCUUUAGAUGGGGGAUAGCAGGCCGAAAGGCCUAUUAAUACCGCAUAUGCCGAAAGGUGAAAGGAGCAAUCCGUCUGAAGAUGAGCCCGCGUCCGAUUAGCUAGUUGGUAAGGUAAAGGCUUACCAAGGCUGUGAUCGGUAGCUGGUCUGAGUGGAUGAUCAGCCACAAUAGGGACUGAGACACGGCCCAUACUCCUACGGGAGGCAGCAGUGGGGAAUUUUACGCAAUGGGCGAAAGCCUGACGUAGCGACACCGCGUGAACGAAGAAGCCUUUUGGGGGUGUAAAAGUUCUGUCGGCAGGGACGAAAAAAAUGACGGU
rnacentral:rRNA from 1 species